rnacentral:pre_miRNA from 1 species
CAUCUACUCCCUCCGUCCGGAAAUACUUGUUGGAGGAAUGGAUGUACCUAGACGAAUUUUAGUUCUAGAUACAUCCAUUUUUAUGCAUUUCUCCGACAAGUAUUUCAGGACGGAGGGAGUACUAG